rnacentral:rRNA from 1 species
UACGUAGGGUGCAAGCGUUAAUCGGAAUACUGGGCGUAAAGCGUGCGCAGGCGGUUAUGUAAGACAGAUGUGAAAUGCCCGGGCUUAACCUGGGAACUGCAUUUGUGACUGCAUGGCUAGAGUUUGGCAGAGGGGUGAGAAUUCCACGUGUAGCAGUGAAAUGCGUAGAUAUGUGGAGGAACACCGAUGGCGAAGGCAGCCCCCUGGGU